rnacentral:miRNA from 1 species
UGGACUUCCUUCUCGUUCCCAGC